CCUACGUGAGGCAGCAGUGAGGAAUAUUGGUCAAUGGGCGGGAGCCUGAACCAGCCAAGCCGCGUGAGGGAAGAAGGUACAGCGUAUCGUAAACCUCUUUUGUCAGGGAACAAAGGCGGGGACUAGUCCCCGGAUGAGGGUACCUGAAGAAAAAGCAUCGGCUACUUCCGUGCCAGCAGCCGCGGUAAUACGGAGGAUGCGAGCGUUAUCCGGAUUUCUUGGGUGUAAAGGGUGCGCAGGCGGCCUGUUAAGUCAGCGGUAGAAGCCAGGGGCUCAACCCCGGCGAGGCGUUGAAACUGGCGGGCUGGUGUUGGAGAGAAGAGCGCGGAAUGGGCGGUGUAGCGGUGAAAUGCUUAGAUAUCGCGCAGAACCCCGAUUGCGAAGGCAGCGUACCGGCUCCACACUGACGCUGAGGCACGAAAGCGUGGGUAGCGAACAGGAUUAGAUACCCCAGUAGUC
rnacentral:rRNA from 1 species